GAUGAACGCUAGCGGCAGGCCUAAUACAUGCAAGUCGAACGGUGUAGCAAUACACAGUGGCGCACGGGUGCGUAACACGUAUGCAACCUACCUUACAUUGGGGGAUAGCCUUUCGAAAGGGAGAUUAAUACCGCAUAAGACAGUAACUAGGCAUCUAGUAGCUGUUAAAGAUUUAUCGAUGUAAGCUGGGCAUGCGUCCAAUUAGUUAGUUGGCGAGGUAAUGGCUCACCAAGACGAUGAUUGGUAGGGGAACUGAGAGGUCAAUCCCCCACACUGGCACUGAGAUACGGGCCAGACUCCUACGGGAGGCAGCAGUAGGGAAAAUUGGGCAAUGGGCGCAAGUCUGACCCAGCCAUGCCGCGUGCAGGAAGAAGGCGUUAUGCGUUGUAAACUGCUUUUAUACAGGAAGAAACGACCCUUGCGAGGGGCAUUGACGGUACUGUAUGAAUAAGCACCGGCUAACUCCGUGCCAGCAGCCGCGGUAAUAC
rnacentral:rRNA from 1 species